UACGGAGGGGGCUAGCGUUGUUCGGCAUUACUGGGCGUAAAGCGCGCGUAGGCGGCUUUGUAAGUCAGAGGUGAAAGCCUGGAGCUCAACUCCAGAACUGCCUUUGAAACUACAUCGCUAGAAUCAUGUAGAGGUUAGUGGAAUUCCGAGUGUAGAGGUGAAAGGCGUAGAUAUGCGGAAGAGCACCAGUGGCGAAGGCGACUAACUGGACAUGUAGUGACGCUGAGGUGCGAAAGCGUGGGGAGCAAACAGG
rnacentral:rRNA from 1 species